rnacentral:rRNA from 1 species
CAGUCGCCACGGGAAUACGUAGGGUGCGAGCGUUAAUCGGAAUUACUGGGCGUAAAGCGUGCGCAGGCGGUUGUGUAAGACAGGUGUGAAAUCCCCGGGCUUAACCUGGGAACUGCGCUUGUGACUGCACAGCUAGAGUAUGGCAGAGGGGGGUGGAAUUCCACGUGUAGCAGUGAAAUGCGUAGAGAUGUGGAGGAACACCGAUGGCGAAGGCAGCCCCCUGGGCCAAUACUGACGCUCAUGCACGAAAGCGUGGGGAGCAAACAGGAUUAGAUACCCGUGUAGUCCCUGUCUCUUAUAC